rnacentral:ncRNA from 1 species
UUGAGCCGGAUGACGGAAAACUUUCAUGUCCGAUUCUUAGGGGGGGAAUUUUAUAAAUAACCUAUCCCGAU